UGAGGAUGAGGUUGGAACGCCGUUCCAAGCCUUAUUUAUUGCUGCUGAGAAGAGAGUUGGGGAACCUAUGUCCUCUCUGAAAGAUGCGAAGAAGAUUGUUGAAGAAGGUCCCGUUGAUCAGUGGGGGCGUGUGGUAGAAGUGUCCGAGAAUAAAGCAAGAACUGGUUUGGGGUUCCAGAAGGACUCGUCAACCGUUAAAUCAGAAGAGAUGCAAC
rnacentral:lncRNA from 1 species